rnacentral:lncRNA from 1 species
AUGAUCCCGAACCAAAACUGGACUUCCGCCAUUUCCCCCCUCUCACUCUCCGUGAACAGACCAACACGGCAGCGCCCAAGUCCUUCCAUAGAAAUAGUUCAGUUCUUAGGUGUUCUAACAACACCAAAGUCUAUUCACUUUAACAAGGGAUCAACAAGUGAGAAUUUGUGGGUCACUUUUAUUUUUAACGGACCGGUGCCAGAAACACUGCCUCAGCAUUUCAUACGUAUGUGCAUUUCAAACGAGGGUGCAUACAAUGCUGGAUUUGUUUCACGGCUCCUGUUGGAAAAAAAGGACAUAUUCCUAAAGUCCGUCAUCCACUCACUGAAUACCUUUUGUUUUGAUGAGGUGAUGGUGAGGACAGCCACAGUUUCCAUCUGGUAGAGGACUGCUUCCGCUCAGUCUUCCAAAUAGUGAUGAGAACAAGGAUCACCACAUCUCCCUGUUUACCCUACUUUCAUGCAUUUCGUCUGCAAGGCCCUGCAAAAGCUUCUGGCCUCAAACCCCCAGACUUCUUAAUUAACUCAGUAACCUAUACAUUGCACAUUGGAGUGUGAAGGUAACAGUUUGUUCUAGCUUUGGAGUAGUGGUGUAUUUUUUUGGUUUACAAUAAAGUUGGCUUUAACUAUUAUGUAUUUCA